GUUUUUAUAGUUGAAUACAACAGGAGUUUUUCAGACUCCCGGUCUAGGUUAAAGUCCUUGUGGAAACC
rnacentral:tRNA from 1 species